GAUCUUACCCCAGCGUGGCUAGAAGGAAACUUAAGAUGGGCAGGUCGUCAGGCCUUGCCUCUGAGUUGGCUCAUAAAAGCAAGAGCAAAACCAAGGUGAAGGAUUGGCAGUGUGAUCCUUGAAGAUGAUUCAAGUUAGCCUGGGGUACCCUCUCUGUUUUCCACUCCAAACUGGGAUUAACUUUGGAAUCUUCCAUAAAUGGAGAGAAACUGGGGGCUUUCCAAUCCUAGCCUGGGUAAAUACUAUUUCCACACAAAUCAGCACAAGAUGGUCUUACAUUGUAAAAGCAGGAGGGGAAGACAGGAGGUAAAUACACCUGCAGAUCUAUGUUUAGGCAGGAGAUAUUCUAUAAUAUAGCCUUGUUCUUCAAAUGCAGAAUUAGAGGUAUGGACUUUUCCUCAGAAUGCUAAAAUAUACAGAUGAAGACAACCUACUAAAAGAUACGCUGAUGGUCACUGUUUCUACAAAAAGACACCUAAAGGUUGCACAGAACCGCCCCUGGAUCUCCAACUUCCAUUCACGUUUCUGGUCACCCUUGAGUGAGAGGCUGGCUCUGCUACUGAAAACAGCCAAGUGAGAGACAGCCCAACUACCUGCAGAAUGCAAGCUUCCUAAAAAGUCACCUUUAUGGGUCUGAGGUUAUUGCUGGAGUCAUGCCACAAAACACAAAACACGCACCUCAGACCCGGAGCCGAUAGCUGGAGAGACAUGAUCCCUAUGCCAGAGAAACCACCUGCCCCGCAAGUACCAAGCCUUGUGUGGAAAGAACAGAAAGGGAGAGAAGGAAAUAAGGUGGAGAGGCCAAAGGACCAGGUCAUUCCCCUGCUCCCCAGAAAACUCUCCCAACAAGAUUAAAAUUGCUGAAACAAACCCUGCAAUCUGACCAGACACCCUGAGGACAGAGUUUGUGGGAGAGGAAGCUCAAGCUAUUGGCUGGAGGUUGAAAGAAGUCUCAAAAACAACUAACUCCAAAGGACAACGUUCAUGGUAGCCACCUUGCGCAAGGAUGAUGAUUAGAGAAGACGUGGAAGAAGAACGCGUGCGGAGCCCAGGGGAGGGUACCAUUUGAGACUGUGGAAAGCCAGCCCGAGGUUGAAAUCAAAGCUCAGAGAAGAGCAGAGUCUCCAGAAAUGCAGAGAACCAGAACCGGGGUCCGGACCGAACUCCUGGACUUUUCAGUUGUGUGAGCAGUACAUCCCCACUGUUGCUGUUGCUUAAGCUAGUCUGAGUCGAUUUUUGAUUGUUCCUUCUCGAAAGCAUACCAAAGCAUCCAUAGCUUCCCCUCCCUGGCCCAUGGUGCCUGAAAUUCCUACCACUGGCCCUCCAUUCCACAUCUCCGUGUCGUACGUGCCUUCGCCAAGCUACAGGCAGAAGGGAAGGAUUUAGGAUUAGAGAGCUUAAUCAAAGAAUGCUUCUCCAAGAAAGUUGUGGGGAUGCCUAACAUAACCGAAUUUCUGAGCUCCAUUUGUAUUUGCCUCCCGUCUCUUUCUGCCCUUUGUGUUUUGUUUUGCUUUUUGUUGUUUACACAGAAAGAACACCUUCCAUCUGGUUGUGUUCAGUCCCACCACUUUUCAAACCCCAGCUCAAGUGUUGCUAGUUUGUCCUUGAAGUCUCCCCUGAGAGCCUCAGCUAGAAAAAAACAGCCCCCUCCCAAAGUGUGGACCGCUUACCUCAGUGUGCCCCGCCCACACUCAGUAUCCCCCCACAGACACACUCCACUGUGACAUGUUUGCCUGCAAGACAACUCCUGGGUUUAUCUUUUGUAUUUACCCCAACUCCAGCGUAUUGUGGCCGGGCCUUCCACAUCUCUUGAGAAGGAGGCAAGUUUAGUGAUAGAAAAGAAUAGGUUUUCCUCAGGAAUUACAGGCCAAAGAAAGGGCUAAAGCAAUGGUUCUCAGGUGUGGGUCCCUGGACCACACCAUCAGCAUCACCUGGGGACUUUUCAGAAAUGCAAAAUCUUCGGAACUUCAGAACCAGAAACUCUGGGGGCGGGACCUAGUAGCCUGCGUUUUAACAAGCUCUCUGGAUUCUGUUGCACUUUAAAGUUUGAGAACCACUGGACUAGAGGAAAAUCUUAAACUACUGACUGAGGAGCAAAUGAGCCUGGUUAUCCAAGAGCAGGAUUGAAGACCAAGCAAAGAUCAACGUGAGUUGUGGGUCUUUUUCUCUCAUGUAGGUUGGGCAUUUAUUCUUUCCUUUUUGCCAACCCUAAGAUGACAUGUUUACUUUCUCCCAAGUUGCUUUACAUUUCUGAAUUUCUAGAUUUCCUUUUUGGCAGAAUUAAACCCAAAAUAACAGGGUUCCUUGUGGAUCUGUCAGUAGCUCAAGCAAAGAAUUUAUCAAGCUACUCUGAUGUGUCUGGGCAAAAGCUGUGGUGUAGCUCAGUAAAGACAGUGCAAUAAUAAAGAUGUGGAUAACAUUCUUUGGAGCUGUUCCAUGAGGCCUGCUUGUGACCCUUGUCUGCUCCGUCCCUCUGUGCCUGACUCGCCCUCACUCCAGAACAAGGAAGCAUCCUGUUCAUUAUGCACGUUCAUCGCUGACCUCGAAAUUCCAGCCAUGGCUCCUGAAAUGCACCCCCCCAGCUACUGUCUCCACUCAGCCCCCAUGGCUAGCUCAUUUCAGAGUGUUUUCACAUGCCCUCACUCCACUCUGUCUCUGUCCAAGCAAAAAGGGAUCAGUGAAAGGCGCAGCUAGAAUCUUUGAGAAAAGACUGGACUUGUGCCUUAAUUUUCGUAAUAAUCACAGAGAUAUCACCUUGUAUGCAGAGAUUUAACUUUACCCUCCAUUCCUAUGAAUUAUGAGAACUCAUAUUUCAAUAUGGUACUGAUAUAUGCUAAAAAGUAUCAGAUCCGAUGAUGUUGAGAAAUCUCUACCUCUCCUUUUAGAUAAUAAAUAUACCAUCAACCAUGUUCAAACAGAAAAUAGUUUUUCUUAUUUAUUGCAGAUGCCUCCAAAAUAUAAUCCUUUUUUGUUUUGCUCUCAAACACACUGUUUUUAAGUACAGAAAGUUCCUCAAAAAAUCUAAUUUCCUAUGUUAUUUUUGUUUAAUCGUGGCACCAAUGUCAAAUAUGUGCCACUUCCACUAUAAUAGUUUGUAUUAUGAAAGCAUUCGGAAGUUUUAGCAAAAAAAAAAGAGUUUUUUUAAUUAACCAAGGAGAAGAACAACUUUGGGGAGAAGCUAGGAUGUCACAGAUACUUAGGUAUAUUUACUCAUGUCCCCAUUACUCCUGUCAGAGUGGAUGUUGCUACCUUCGUUUUAUAGAUGAGAACCCUGGAGUUCAGACAAGCUGGAAAACUGUGCUAGAGUCAGGAUGUGAUUGGAAAUCUGACUCCAGAGCCUGGACUUUACUCAGCACCGCCUGCCCCGCCACACACACACCUCUACCCAGAUUAGAACAUCCACUGCUUCCUCCUUGCAUAGGCUGAUAUCUACAUGAAGGUGUGCACGGGGCACUUAAAAACCAGUUAGAUCGGGGGAGGGUGGUUUUUGCAGGUGACAAAAACAGGAAUUCCACCCCACCUAAAAGUCUUCCCCAAACUGAAUGUUUUGCAAAAACUUCAAAAGGACAGUGUAAUUUGGCACCAGAUUUGUUUUAAUUUGUUUUAAGUCCUGAUUUCCAAGAUCUGAGCAUGCUUAUCGACCCUCAGUGCCCGCUAAUACAGAAUUUGUUAAUUUGUUGAUUCAGAAGGUCACUCACAACAUCCUGGAUUUUGAUUCAGAAGCCUCACAGCAAAGCAGCUCAUUCAAUUUACCCUUAGCUGGUACGCUGUAAAGAAACAUGUCUGUAACUGAAACCCUUAAUCAGUGGUUUUUAAGUUUAGAUGUGUUCAUCCAAAUGCAAUGUGACAGUGAUGCCAUUUUAUCGAUGGAUUUUUUUGAUUGACUUUUUGCCUUAGAUUUUUAAAGACUCUGUUUAACAAUUGGAGUACAAGAUCAUGCCUGUAGUUAACAAUACUGUAUUGUACACUUUAAAAUUCAUCAGGAGGGUAGAUGUCAUGUUAAAUGUUCUUACCUCAGUUUUUUCUUUUUUUUUUUUU